rnacentral:misc_RNA from 1 species
CUGAAACUCUAAAACAGAUAUGCAAAUGGGCUAGCUUCCUGAACAUGUUCACGGUCAAUAAAUCUACAAGAGAAUAUAUUUUUUAAAAGCUGGUAAAAGGGUAUUAUAUAUAGUGGAGUAUAUAUCAUGAAAUGCAAGGAAUAUAUAUUAAAUUAAGGAGGAAUAUGCAAAUUGGCUUUUUUCCCCUCUCUUUAUGAUUUUGUAUUGAUGGUUAUUCUGUUGGUUGUUGAUUCUCACCCUCUUGUUGUUUUUUUUUUUUUUUUUUUU